UACGUAGGAGGCAAGCGUUGUCCGGAAUUACUGGGCGUAAAGCGCGUGUAGGUGGUGGGACAAGUCUGCUGUGAAAGCGCCUGGCUUAACCGGGCGAGGUCGGCGGAAACUGUUCGACUUGAGGACGGUAGAGGGGGGUGGAAUUCCCGGUGUAGUGGUGAAAUGCGUAGAGAUCGGGAGGAACACCUGUGGCGAAGGCGGCCCCCCUGGGCCGGCCCUGACACUGAGACGCGAAGGCGUGGGGAGCGAACGGG
rnacentral:rRNA from 1 species